rnacentral:rRNA from 1 species
AGCAGCCGCGGUAAUUCCAGUUCCAAUAGCGUAUAUUAAAGUUGUUGCAGUUAAAAAGACUCGUAGUUGAAUUUCGGGGUUAGUAGGUUGGUCAUGCCUCUGGUAUGUACUGAUCUCACUGAUUCCUCCCUCUUGACGAACUGUAAUGUCAUUAAUUUGGUGUUGCAGGAAAUCAGGACUGUUACUUUGAAAAAAUUAGAGUGUUUAAAGCAGGCUAAGGCUUGAAUACAUUAGCAUGGAAUAAUGAAAUAGGACGUUUGAUCCUAUUUUGUUGGCUUCUAGGAUUGACGUAAUGAUUAAUAGGGAUAGUUGGGGGCAUUAGUAUUCAAUUGUCAGAGGUGAAAUUCUUGGAUUUAUUGAAGACUAACUACUGCGAAAGCAUUUGUCAAGGAUGUUUUCAUUAAUCAAGAACGAAAGUUAGGGGAUCGAAGACGAUCAGAUACCGUCGUAGUCUUAACCAUAAACUAUGCCGACUAGGGAUCGGAUGAUGUUAAUUUUUUAAUAGUACUCAUUCGGUCCG